rnacentral:rRNA from 1 species
UGGGGAAUUUUGGACAAUGGGGGCAACCCUGAUCCAGCCAUGCCGCGUGCGGGAAGAAGGCCUUCGGGUUGUAAACCGCUUUUAGCUGGGAAGAAAAGGCCAAGGCCAAUACCCUUGGUUCUUGACGGUACCGGCGGAAUAAGCACCGGCUAACUACGUGCCAGCAGCCGCGGUAAUACGUAGGGUGCGAGCGUUAAUCGGAAUUACUGGGCGUAAAGCGUGCGUAGGCGGUUCGCUGUGUCGGUCGUGAAAGCCCCGGGCUUAACCUGGGAAUGGCGAUGGAAACUGGCGAGCUGGAGUGCGGCAGAGGGGGGUGGAAUUCCGCGUGUAGCAGUGAAAUGCGUAGAGAUGCGGAGGAACACCGAUGGCGAAGGCAGCCCCCUGGGUCGACACUGACGCUCAGGCACGAAAGCGUGGGGAGCAAACAG